rnacentral:piRNA from 1 species
UGCAAUAUGUGGUGGACUCUUUGAAG